rnacentral:tRNA from 1 species
GACUAGGGCAGGGGGGGCCUAAUCCCGGGGAUUUUCAAUCCCCGUUUGCAGGUUCGAGUCCUGCGCGGGUCA